CAGUCAAAUUACACUGAAAACACCAGUUCUAAUUUGAUCACUGAAGUUAAGCCAUGUUGUGCCUAAUCAAUACUUAGAUGUGGAACCACUUGGGGACACAGGGUACUGUAA